rnacentral:rRNA from 1 species
AUUGAACGCUGGCGGCAGGCCUAACACAUGCAAGUCGAACGAGUGGCGUACGGGUGAGUAAUUUCUGGGAAACUGCCUGAUGGAGGGGGAUAACUACUGGAAACGGUAGCUACUACCGCAUACCAUCGGAUGUUCCCCGAUGGGAUUAGCUAGUAGGUGGGGUAAAGGCUCAACUAGGCGACGAUCCCUAGCUGGUCUUAGAGGAUGACCAGCCACACUGGAACUGAGACACGGUCCAGACUCCUACGGGAGGCAUCAGGGGGGAAUAUUGCACAAUGGGCUCAAGCCUGAUGCAGCCAGGCCGCGUGUAUGAAGAAGGCCUUCGGGUUGUAAAGUACUUUCAGCGGGGAGGCGUUACCCGCAGAAGAAGCACCGGCUAACUCCGUGCCAGCAGCCGCGGUAAUAC